CCGGGCUCAAACGGCGGACGACUGUCGCAGAGACGCGACUUUCUACGGACGUCCGCCGAGGUGCUGCAUGGUCGUCGUCAGCUCGUGCCGUGAGGUGUCGGCUUAAGUGCCAUAACGAGCGCAACCCCUGCCGCCAGUUGCUAACGCGUAAUGGCGAGGACUCUGGCGGGACUGCCGGCGCAAGCCGCGAGGAAGGCGGGGAUGACGUCAAAUCAGCACGGCCCUUACGUCCGGGGCGACACACGUGUUACAAUGGGUGGCACAGAGGGAAGCCAGGCGGUGACGCCGCGCGGAACCCGAAAUCCACUCUCAGUUCGGAUCGGAGUCUGCAACCCGACUCCGUGAAGCUGGAUUCGCUAGUAAUCGCGCAUCAGCCAUGGCGCGGUGAAUACGUUCCC
rnacentral:rRNA from 1 species